rnacentral:rRNA from 1 species
CGGAUUGCAGUCUGCAACUCGGCUGCAUGAAGCCGGAAUCGCUAGUAAUCGCGGAUCAGAAUGCCGCGGUGAAUACGUUCCCGGGUCUUGUACACACCGCCCGUCACACCAUGGGAGUCGGAAAUGCCCGAAGCCGGUGGCCUAACCGAUAAGGGAGGAGCCGUCGAAGGCAGGUCUGAUGACUGGGGUGAAGUCGUAACAAGGUACC